CAGCCACAUCAUGUGGAAACACCAGUUCUCAUAUGAUCACCAAAGUUAAGCAACAUCAAGCUUGGCAAGUACCUAGAUGGAUGAUUGCUUGGGAAUACCAGGUGCUGUAA